rnacentral:rRNA from 1 species
UGGGGAAUCUUAGACAAUGGGGGAAACCCUGAUCUAGCCAUGCCGCGUGAGUGAUGAAGGCCCUAGGGUCGUAAAGCUCUUUCGCCAGGGAUGAUAAUGACAGUACCUGGUAAAGAAACCCCGGCUAACUCCGUGCCAGCAGCCGCGGUAAAACGGAGGGGGUUAGCGUUGUUCGGAAUUACUGGGCGUAAAGCGCACGUAGGCGGCUUGGUCAGUCAGAUGUGAAAGCCCAGGGCUCAACUCUGGAACUGCAUUUGAUACUCCCAAGCUUGAGGUCGAGAGAGGAGAGUGGAAUACCCAGUGUAGAGGUGAAAUUCGUAGAUAUUGGGUGGAACACCAGUGGCGAAAGCGGCUCUCUGGUUCGAUACUGACGCUGAGGCGCGAAAGCGUGGGGAGCAAACAGGAUUAGAUACCCCCGUAGUCC